rnacentral:misc_RNA from 1 species
UUUCCGUAGGUGAACCUGCGGAAGGAUCAUUAAAGUAUGAACUUGAAGGUUUGAGGCUGGCCUUAUAGGCAUGUGCGCACCUUCACUUUCUUAUUCCACAUACACCUGUGCACCUAUACAGUUCAGAGUUGGCUUCCGAGGAGUUAUACUCCACGAGCCGUUUCCAUAUGAUUGCUGCUUCGCCAGCCUAUGGUUACUGGGGCCGCUCGCUCUGUUUCAUAUACCCCAUAAGAGUAAUUUAAACGCAUGUCUUUUGUGAGCUCUAAGGAGCUUUAACAAACUUACAACUUUCAACAACGGAUCUCUUGGCUUCCACAUCGAUGAAGAACGCAGC